rnacentral:rRNA from 1 species
CCUACGGGAGGCAGCAGUGGGGAAUUUUGGACAAUGGGGGCAACCCUGAUCCAGCCAUGCCGCGUGUGUGAAGAAGGCCUUCGGGUUGUAAAGCACUUUCGGACGGAACGAAAUCGCACGGGUGAAUAUCCCGUGUGGAUGACGGUACUGUAAGAAGAAGCACCGGCUAACUACGUGCCAGCAGCCGCGGUAAUACGUAGGGUGCGAGCGUUAAUCGGAAUUACUGGGCGUAAAGCGUGCGCAGGCGGCUUUGCAAGUCAGACGUGAAAUCCCCGGGCUUAACCUGGGAAUGGCGUUUGAAACUACGGAGCUGGAGUGUGGCAGAGGGGGGUAGAAUUCCACGUGUAGCAGUGAAAUGCGUAGAUAUGUGGAGGAAUACCGAUGGCGAAGGCAGCCCCCUGGGCCAACACUGACGCUCAUGCACGAAAGCGUGGGGAGCAAACAGGAUUAGAUACCCUGGUAGUCCACGCCCUAAACUAUGUCAACUAGUUGUUGGGGGAGUUAAAUCCCUUAGUAACGCAGCUAACGCGUGAAGUUGACCGCCGUCGGGAGGUACGGUCGCGAAGAAGUUAAACGUUAAAGUAAAGUUAGUUACGUAGCGUUGAGACGNGCCGACGGACGACGACGAGGGAGAGG